UAAGCCUGCGAAGGUGGCCUGUGAGGGUUGCUGGAGGUAUCAGAAGUGCGAAUGCUGACAUAAGUAACGAUAAAGCGGGUGAAAAGCCCGCUCGCCGGAAGACCAAGGGUUCCUGUCCAACGUUAAUCGGGGCAGGGUGAGUCGACCCCUAAGGCGAGGCCGAAAGGCGUAGUCGAUGGGAAACGGGUUAAUAUUCCCGUACUUGGUGUUACUGCGAAGGGGGGACGGAGAAGGCUAUGUUGGCCGGGCGACGGUUGUCCCGGUUUAAGCGUGUAGGCUGGUUUUCCAGGCAAAUCCGGAAAAUCAAGGCUGAGGCGUGAUGACGAGGCACUACGGUGCUGAAGCAACAAAUGCCCUGCUUCCAGGAAAAGCCUCUAAGCAUCAGGUAACAUCAAAUCGUACCCCAAACCGACACAGGUGGUCAGGUAGAGAAUACCAAGGCGCUUGAGAGAACUCGGGUGAAGGAACUAGGCAAAAUGGUGCCGUAACUUCGGGAGAAGGCACGCUGACACGUAGGUGAAGUGAUUUACUCA
rnacentral:rRNA from 1 species